UACAGAGGGUGCGAGCGUUGUCCGGAAUCACUGGGCGUAAAGGGCGCGUAGGCGGUCGGAUAAGCGUGCGGUGAAAGCCCGGGGCUCAACCCCGGGUCGGCCGUGCGGACUGUGCGACUGGAGCACUGUAGAGGCAGGUGGAAUUCCGGGUGUAGCGGUGGAAUGCGUAGAGAUCCGGAAGAACACCGGUUGCGAAGGCGGCCUGCUGGGCAGUCGCUGACGCUGAGGCGCGACAGCGUGGGGAGCAAACAGG
rnacentral:rRNA from 1 species